rnacentral:rRNA from 1 species
UACGUAGGGGGCUAGCGUUGUCCGGAAUCAUUGGGCGUAAAGCGCGCGUAGGCGGCCCGGUAAGUCCGCUCUGAAAGUCCAGGGCUCAACCCUGGAAAGCGGGUGGAUACUGCCGGGCUAGAAUCCGGAAGAGGCGAGUGGAAUUCCUGGUGUAGCGGUGGAAUGCGUAGAUAUCGAGAGGAACACCUGCGGCGAAGGCGGGUUGCUGGGCCGACACUGACGCUGAUGCGCGAAAGCCAGGGGAGCGAACGGG